AGACCUUAGUGCUGCCUGAAGGAACACAGUCCUGCCUAUACUUUUACUUUACAGCCAGUGAAAUUGAUUUUGGAUUUAUCUACUGCAGAACUGUAAACAUUUUUUUAAUUGUUUUAAGUCACUAAGUUUACAGCAAUUUGUCAGAGUGGAAAUAGGAAAUUAAUCCACUAGUUUUGGAAAACUAUUUGUUCUGAAUACAAGCUUUUUAUCCAAUAUAUGCUUUACAAAUGUUUUCUUCUGUCUAAGGCUAGACUCUUUUCUGGCUUUCAACAGCAUGUUUUGAAGACCAGGUAUGGACUUAUCUGUACUCAGCCAACUGUAGAAGAACAACCCUUCAGAGCUCCUGAGAGUUGGUCGUCUUCAUACAGCUACUCUGGAUUUAGCUAAUAACUUGGCCUGCCACAGUCUCAUGGAUCUGGCAGAAGACAUGAAACUCCUGGGUCAGAAGAAAAGGAUUUUAUGACUCGCAGUACAACAGGCAGCUCUUACUUCGUCUUCACAUCAGUUACCUUUCUCAUCUAAGUCCCGCAAGGGUGAUGCUGAGGUCAUCCCAGAUGGAUGCUAAACACAAAACAUACGGAAUCUUGCUCUGUCACCCAGGCUAGGGUGCAGUGGCGCC
ensembl:lncRNA Novel transcript